rnacentral:rRNA from 1 species
GAUGAACGCUGGCGGCGUGCCUAAUACAUGCAAGUCGAGCGAACAGACGAGGAGCUUGCUCCUCUGACGUUAGCGGCGGACGGGUGAGUAACACGUGGAUAACCUACCUAUAAGACUGGGAUAACUUCGGGAAACCGGAGCUAAUACCGGAUAAUAUAUUGAACCGCAUGGUUCAAUAGUGAAAGACGGUUUUGCUGUCACUUAUAGAUGGAUCCGCGCCGCAUUAGCUAGUUGGUAAGGUAACGGCUUACCAAGGCAACGAUGCGUAGCCGACCUGAGAGGGUGAUCCGCCACACUGGAACUGAGACACGGUCCAGACUCCUACGGGAGGCAGCAGUAGGGAAUCUUCCGCAAUGGGCGCAAGCCUGACCGAGCCACGCCGCGUGAGUGAUGAAGGUCUUCGGAUCGUAAAACUCUGUUAUUAGGGAAGAACAAAUGUGUAAUUAACUAUGCACGUCUUGACGGUACCUAAUCAGAAAGCCACGGCUAACUACGUG